UACGGGGGGAGCAAGCGUUGUUCGGAUUUACUGGGCGUAAAGGGCGCGUAGGCGGCCACCGCAAGUCAAUUGUGAAAUCUCCGGGCUUAACUCGGAAAGGUCAACUGAUACUGCGGGGCUAGAGUGCGGAAGGGGCAACUGGAAUUCUCGGUGUAGCGGUGAAAUGCGUAGAUAUCGAGAGGAACACCUGCGGCGAAGGCGGGUUGCUGGGCCGACACUGACGCUGAUGCGCGAAAGCCAGGGGAGCGGACGGG
rnacentral:rRNA from 1 species